CCCUUAGAUGUUCUGGGCCGCACGCGUGCUGCACUGAGUAAAUCAAUGGGUAAGGGAACACGAAAGUGCAACCUAAUCUUGAAAUUUGCUCGUGAUGGGGAUCGACGGUUGCAAUUUUCCGUCGUGAACGAGGAAUACCUUGUAGGCGCGUGUCAUCAUCACGCGCCGAAUACGUCCCUGCCCUUUGUACACACCGCCCGUCGCUCCUACCGAUUGAGUGAUCCGGUGAGGCUCUGGGACCUGGACGGAAAGAGCGUUUCGCUUGUUCUGUUUGGGAAACUUGGUCGAACCUUAUCAUUUAGAGGAAGGAGAAGUCGUAACA
rnacentral:rRNA from 1 species